CGUGGGGAGGGGUAGGGAGAGGGGUGCAACAAGCUGGAAGGGGUGUGAGGGAGAGGCAAGGAGUGGGGAAGGGCUGGGACACGAGGGACACGGGAUCGACCCCUCUGUGUUCUCCUGGGUGCAGCGCGGGCUCUCAGCCUCGGUGACUCGCGGUCCCAGGUCGCAGCCGGUGCCUUUUAAAGUUCGCCGGUGCAGGAGGAGCCGGCCGGAGAGUAGGGCCCCUCAGCCUUUGUCCCCAAGACCCGCGGCCGGUGGAACCAGACUGUCCCCCCCCACACGCACACAUACACACCCUUGCUCCAGGAAAACCACAAGUCCUGCACGCCGCUUCUUCCCCCAUUCCCCACCCCCGGAAGUGUGCUUCUUUCUUAGCCUAGGAACACCCAACAGGUUUCUGCUGGAUUUCGGAGCAGCUUCCAAGGCUUCUGGAAAAUAAGUGAAAAAGGCUUGCCUGUGAUUCCAGCGCUGGGGAGACUGAAGCAGGAGGAUUGCUGCUAGUCGGAAGACCGACAGAGCUGCUCAAGAGAGUUUCAGGACAGCAUGGGCUACUCUGAGACCCUGUCUCGAAAAAAACAAAAAUCUAAAAGUGUCAGCGGGACAAGAGAAGGGACCUUGGUCUGCCCCAAACUGCCAAGACCUAGGAGCCUGAGCAAUCUGGCUCAAGCUUUCAGUAACUCCUUAAUGGAAGAACGGAAAACACUCAGACACCCUGUCACGCUGCAGGUGGGUGGAGCAGGAAGCUAAGCGCUGGGCAAGGGUCAAGCCACCCUUGCAGAGACACGUGCUGCAGGUCUGAGGAGGAUCACCUGAGAGUCCAACCCUCUGCAGUGGGCACUGGAAUGGCAGAGUGGGAGUAGGCUGGACCCUGGGAGGAGGGCCAACUGGAGCUCUCCAGAGUGGUUCUCAACCUGUGGGCCGUGACCCCCGGAUGUCCCAUAUCAGAUAUUUACGUUACUGUUCAUAACAGCAGCAAGAUUACAGUUAUGAAGUAGCAAUAAAAUAAUUUUAUAGUUAAGGGUCCCCACAACCUGAGGAACUGCAUUAAAGGGUCGCAGCAUCAGAAAGGUUGAGAACCGCUGCUCCAGGGGACCCUAAUAGGAAGGAGUGUGGGAGGGGUGUGGCGUGCAAAGAGGACCAUGGAGGGAUCCUUUCUCUGAAGCAGUCAGUAGGGAGAGAGAGAGGUGCUGCGAUUGGGGGUGCAGAGCCUUUGGCCUCUGAUCUGGUUCUUGACCAAAUGAACAUAGGAAAAUAGCAUCUAAACACUCACUUGAACACACAGUUAAUAGAAAUGAAACAAGUGAAGUAAGUAGGAAGAUAAUUGACCAUUGCAUCAUAUCACGUAUACAAAUGAAAACUACGGUGGAAUUCUAUUUUGUAGAUGUGGGAUUGGAACAGAAAACCAUUCCCGUUCGUUGUUGCUGGGACUAUAAAAUGAUCUGCCUCCUUGAAGGCAAUUGGCAGCGGCUGUUAGAAGUAAACAUACGUUGUUUUGACCAGGCAGCCCCCCCACCAGGGGUUUAUCACGCGUGAAAUGUUAGCCCCUUCAGUGUAGCUAAGCAGGUAAGAGUGCAACUGUUACAGAGGACCUGGGUUCAGUUCCCUUCACGGGGAAGGUCACAACCACUUGUACUCCAGGUCCAUGGAUUUUACGCCCUCUUCUGAACUCUGAGCAUACUGUACACAUGUGGUGCAUUUGUAUGCAGGGCACAUAUGUACAUGCAGGGGAAAUGCAUAUACAUAAAAUAAAAAUUUUAAAUACUUUAAUCCCAUGUACUCAGGUAGAGGUAUUCCAAAAAAUGAUGUUGUUUUUUUUUCUCUCAUAAAUAUGUGUGUAUGAUCAUUUACAGCAGCUUCAUCUGUAAGGGCAGAAACUAGAACAGCUUCAUCUGUAAGGGCAGAAACUAGAAAUGGCCUCCCACAGGUGAGUGAUUGAAUGAUCAGUCUAUCUCUUACACUACAAAAUUUGGCUUCACGACAAAAAACUUGACAUGAAGACAUGUGGGUGGAGCUCAAGAUUUUAAUACCAACUUUUGAAAGAGCAGUCAAUCAAAUAAAAAUGACAUUUGACUCCAUAGCAUUCUCAAAGCACAAUACCCGGUUUUGGUUUUAGAAGUCCAUUAGGGAUGGGCUUGGUGGCACAUGCCUUUAAUCCCAGCAAUUGGGAGGCCGAGGCAGGUGGAUCUCUGAGUUGGAAGCCAGCCUGGCUACAUAGUGAGCUCCAGGACAACCAGGACUAUAUAGAGACCUCACAAAACAGAAAAGAGGGCUAGAGGUGUGGGCUAGAUGGCCACGAGUGUUGGCUGCUCACCUGAAGAACCCAGAUUUGAUUCCCAGCACCGACUUGGCAGCUCACAACCAUCUGGAACUCCAGUUCCAGGGGAUCCGGCGCCCUCUGACUGCUGAGGGUACUGCAUGCCUAUGACGCACAGGCAUAUAUGCAGGCAAACACACCCCUAUACUUUUUAAAUCUUGAAAGAAUUAAACAGAGACAGUACGGCUGGUGAGUGUGCAGAGGAACUGCACCUCAGAUACUAUAGCGGGGAUGCAAAAUGACCUGGCUGCUCAGUUUGGUGGUUUAAUUUAAAGACAUUUAUUUGGGUCUAGGGAGAUGGCUCAGUGGUUAAGAGCACUGACUGUUCUUGCAGAAGUCCUGAGUUCAACCACAUUCCCAGCAACCACAUGGUGGCUCACAACCAUCUGUAAUGAGAUCCGGUGUCCUCUUCUGGUGUGAAGGCACAGUGCAAGCAGAACACUGUACACAUAAUAAAUAAGUCUUCAAAAAACAACCCUAAAGUAAAGGCAUUUACUCCUAUGUGUAUGGGCGCUUUGCAUGCAUCUGUGUACUACACACAUGCAGUGCGCUUAGAGGCCAGAAGCUGCCAUCAGACCCCCUGGAACUGGAGUUAUAGACCACAGUUGGCUGCCAUGUGGGUGCUGGGAAUUGAACCCAGGUCCUCUAGAAGAACAGCCAGUGCUCUUAACUACUGAGCCAUCUCUCCAACUCCCUAAAAAUAAUUAAAUUUUUUUUUUCUUUUUUGAGACAGGUUUUCUCUGUGUAGCCUUGACUGUUCCGUUGAGACCAGACUGGCCACAAACUCAGAGAUUUGCCUGCCUCUGCCUCCCCACGUGCUGGGAUUACAGACGUGCACACACAGGGCCCAGCUAACAUAUUUUCUUUUUAAACGUUACAGCAGUGAAGGUUUGGGGAAGUGACCCUAGUAGAGCACUCACCUGGCUGAAGCACGAGAACUGAGUUCAAGGCUAAUCUGGGCUCCAUAUCAAGAUCUGGUCUCAAAAGUAAGACAAAAGCAAUAAUAAAACACGCUUGUGCAAAUCACAAGUAUAUUGGUAAAAAGAAAUCACAGGACUUUGCAGAGAAACCAUGCAUGACAACUUCAUUUCAUAUUUAAAUGUAUAAAUAAAAGCAACAGUAAAAUCUGUACAUAUACUCUGUA